CUCGCAAGAGCAAAGCAGGGGACCUUCGGGCCUUGCGCUACCGGAUAUGCCCAGGUGGGAUUAGCUAGUUGGUGAGGUAAGGGCCUCACCAAGGCGACGAUCCCUAGCUGGUCUGAGAGGAUGAUCAGCCACACUGGAACUGAGACACGGUCCAGGCUCCUACGGGAGGCAGCAGUGGGGAAUAUUGCACAGUGGGCGCAAGCCUGAUGCAGCCAUGCCGCGUGUAUGAAGAAGGCCUUCGGGUU
rnacentral:rRNA from 1 species